rnacentral:rRNA from 1 species
GACGAACGCUGGCGGCGUGCUUAACACAUGCAAGUCGAACGGAAAGGCCCUGCUUUUGUGGGGUGCUCGAGUGGCGAACGGGUGAGUAACACGUGAGUAACCUGCCCUUGACUUUGGGAUAACUUCAGGAAACUGGGGCUAAUACCGGAUAGGAGCUCCUGCUGCAUGGUGGGGGUUGGAAAGUUUCGGCGGUUGGGGAUGGACUCGCGGCUUAUCAGCUUGUUGGUGGGGUAGUGGCUUACCAAGGCUUUGACGGGUAGCCGGCCUGAGAGGGUGACCGGCAAAGUGGGGACGGAGAAAGGCCCCAGACCCCAAGGGGGGGAAGAGGGGGGAAAGAUUGAAAAAGGGGGGGAAGCCGGAGGAAGAAAGGCGGCGGGGGGGAUGAGGGCUUUCGGGUUGUAAACGGCUUUCGCGGGUGACGAAGGGGGAGUGAGGGUAAGGGGUAAAGAAGCACCGGCUAACUACGUG